rnacentral:rRNA from 1 species
GAUGAACGCUGGCGGCGUGCCUAACACAUGCAAGUCGAACGGAAGUGAUAGCAAUAUUGCUUUAGUGGCGGACGGGUGAGUAACGCGUGAGUAACCUGCCUUUCGGAGGGGGACGAACAGCUGGAAACGGCUGCUAAUACCGCAUAAAGUAUACUGGUGGCAUCACUGGAAUACCAAAGAUUUAUCGCCGAAGAUGGACUCGCGUCUGAUUAGCUAGUUGGUAGGGUAACGGCCUACCAAGGCUUCGAUCAGUAGCCGGACUGAGAGGUUGAACGGCCACAUUGGGACUGAGAUACGGCCCAGACUCCUACGGGAGGCUG